CCAUAGCCCCGAUUGCAGCGGCAUCCUUUUUUGUUUUUGGCGAUGGAAAUGGUGAUGGCAAAACAAAAAAGAUAUAGCGGAAAGCGGGAUUCAGC
rnacentral:sRNA from 1 species